AACGAACGCUGGCGGCAUGCCUAACACAUGCAAGUCGAACGAGACCUUCGGGUCUAGUGGCGCACGGGUGCGUAACGCGUGGGAACCUGCCCUUAGGUUCGGAAUAACUCCCCGAAAGGGGUGCUAAUACCGGAUAAUGUCUUCGGACCAAAGAUUUAUCGCCUUUGGAUGGGCCCUCGUUGGAUUCGCUAGUUGGUAGGGUAAAAGCCUACCAAGGCGACGAUCCAUAGCUGGUCUGAGAGGAUGAUCCGCCACACUGGGACUGCGACACGGCCCAGACUCCUACGGGGAGCAGCAGUGGGGAAUAUUGGACAAUGGGCGAAAGCCUGAUCCAGCAAUGCCGCGUGAGUGAUGAAGGCCUUAGGGUUGUAAAGCUCUUUUACCCGGGAUGAUAAUGACAGUACCGGGAGAAUAAGCUCCGGCUAACUCCGUG
rnacentral:rRNA from 1 species